GACGAACGCUGGCGGCGUGCUUAACACAUGCAAGUCGAACGGAAAGGCCUGCUUUCCCUUGUGGAUUGCGGGUACUCGAGUGGCGAACGGGUGAGUAACACGUGAGUGAUCUGCCCCCAACUUGGGUAUAAGCCUGGGAAACUGGGUCUAAUUCCCGAUAGGACUGCAGGGUGGUGCCUGUGGUGGAAAACGAUUUUCUAGUGGUUGGGGAUGAGCUCGCGGCCUAUCAGCUUGUUGGUGGGGUAAUGGCCUACCAAGGCGGGGACGGGUAGCCGGCCUGAGAGGGUGGGCGUCCGCAUUGGGACUGAGAUACGGCCCAGACGCCUACGGCAGGCAGCAGUGGGGAAUAUUGCACGAGGGGCGGAAGCCUGAUGCAGCGACGCCGCGUGGGGGAUGACGGCCGUCGGGUUGUAAACUCCUUUCGACCGCGAGGAAGCCACCUGGUUGGAAGGGUGGUGACGGUAGUGGUAGAAGAAGCACCGGCUAACUACGUG
rnacentral:rRNA from 1 species